UUUUGUUUUAAAGUAUUCAUCCAAUAAAUAGCAAUAUGCAAAUCCCAAACUAGUGUAAGAAGGCAGAAACUGAAACCGAUGUUCAAUAAAGUGUCAAUUGCAGGAGCUCCUUAAUAGGAGGGCUUCCUUCAACACCUGGCUCUUUCUAAGGUUUUUCUAUGCAACCUUUCCCUCAAGUCACUCAGAAGACAUUGCACAUGGAAACGAACUGUAGAAAUAUGUAAGCAACUUUAAAAAGUUGUUCAGGUACUGGAAGUGGCACCAGCAGCAUAGGACUCCACACGUGCAACUGGUGCACUUGGCUGGCUUCAACAGACCUUGUACCAGACCUUGGGCAAGAAUCAUAAAGGCAUUCCAUAGUUGCAGGAAGCACUCAAGCCUUAAUCUGGACCACUUGUCGGGCAGUGAAAGGGAAAAACAAUUCAGGCAGCAAUCCUCUUGAAAAACCAUACAUGGGUUUUAGAGAGAGCUCAGCAGGCCUGCAAAUGCUGUAGGCAGCUUUGAAAUCCCCAGUUUGAGAUGGGCCAAUGAGGCUUUGUUGUUGAUGCCCCAAGGGAAAAGCUAAAUGUAGCGCUCAUCACAGUGUGAAUGCAUAUCAAGAAUAAACUGAGAUUUUGCAUGGUUUGAUCUGUACA
rnacentral:lncRNA from 1 species